CGCUUGGCUCGUCUUUACCAAGUAGAUUCUGCCCAAUGAACCUUUAAAUGGCCGCAGUAUCCUGACUGUGCUAAGGUAGCAUAAUAAUUUGCCUUUUAAUUGAAGGCUAGAAUGAAUGAACUGACGAGGAGAUAACUGUCUCAGGGGUACUAAGGAAAUUUAUAUUCAGGUAAAAAAUCCUGAGAGUUGUAGAGGGACGAUAAGACCCUAAAAGCUUUACCCUUUCCCUUUAAAACUAUUCAACUUAAUUAAGGUUAAUGGGUUUUCACUGGGGCGGUGAUUCCAUCUAACUGGAAUAAUUCAAACACUUUGAGUGAAACCUACCACCUUGAUUAAAAUCUAAAGUUAAGUUACUUUAGGGAUAACAGCGCAAUUUUCUGAUAGAGCCCUUAUCGACCAGAAAGAUUACGACCUCGAUGUUGAAUUGGAAACUUGACUAGAGCAGCAUUUAGUAUUAAGAAGACUGUUCGUCUUUUAAACUUUC
rnacentral:rRNA from 1 species